GGUAAAUAUAACUGGUUAAAAAACAAUGCUUGCAAUACUAAAAAAAAAAAAAAACGCAGGAUACAGAGAGGAGGCAGAGUUCGUAAGCCGUUCCCUUGCCAGACUUAGACACUGGAACCGCAAGCACGUAGAGAAAGAAAAAUCUAUUGUAUCAUCACCGUUAGCCUAUAUAUCUGCCACCAUCAGAUUGUCGGAACCGGAUUCGGGUAAUUCACAUGGCCUAACUAUUUUCAGAGAAAAGGCUAUGCAGUUCCUUCUGAAAUAUCUAGCACCUGAAGAAAGUUUUGGUAUGCAGCAUUUAUCUGCAUUCAUCCUAUCAAAUCUUGGUGGAACAUAUGCUUGGACAGGGAACCAUAUACCUUAGCAUGGUUGGUUAAAAAGGCCGGUUUAACCUCUCCAUAUCAUCGGAAUAUGAUAAGAAAUUUUAACUGGUUGGAUAAAAGCCUACAUGUGAGAUAUAAGGAAAAAUCUAUUGGUUUUUAUGGUAAUAAAGGUAUUGACAAAGAAAAUUUCAUGGAUUUGCAAGAUACUUCCACAGGCCCUUGGUGCAGCAAGGUUGCUAGAGGCAUCAUUAAUAUUCAGAAUCCUAUCUUCCAUGCAUUAGAGAAGGGACUAAAGAGCAAAAUAAGAAGGGUGUCUUAGGCUUGUCUAACAGCCAUUGCAUGGCUUGGAUGUGAAAUAACAAAGUGCCCAAAUAGUAUAAGAUAGUCUGCAUGUGAGAUCUUACUAAAUGAAAUUGAGCAAUUUUUGCAUCCUAUAUCAGAGCUUGAAGGCAGGUUUCUAGCAUGUCUUUGCAUCUAUAACUAUGCUUCUGGCAAAGGUAAUGCCUUUUACAUAAACAUCUCUAUGUAAUAACCAUUUUGCAGUAUCACAAAGCACAAAAGAUUUAAGAUUCAUCUCUACUAUAUAUGCAAAUGAUCAUUGACAUGAAUGAAUACUCAAUCAGCAGUUAGGUUCAUGGGUUCAAUUUCUUUAGUUAAAGAAGUAUUAAGACGAAGGAUGUGAAACGGACAACAAUCUUUCUUCUCCAUCAAUUUGCUUCCAAGGAAGGAUGAUCAAACCAUUCUCUUCAAUUGCUAGAAAUAUUUUUCUCUCCAUCAUAGUGGAUGUUACAGUUUUAGUUGUUUAGAAUAGGCUUAAAAGAAGAUCUAUUUGUAAGACAACACAUAUUUUUAUGGAUAGCAUACUGAGUGUUAUAUACAUUUUAAAUUUGAAAUUCA